rnacentral:piRNA from 1 species
CUCCUGGUUUUUAAUGUCUGAAGACCAAGGA